ensembl:lncRNA
CAGCUCUGUCCCACUCUUCAUGGGACUUUGUGCCUGCACCUAUAACAUCCCUGUCUGCAUAUCUGAGCUCCAGCCAUACCUUUAGCAAAUAGCCCAUCCUUGGUUCCUCAAGAGAAUAGACCUUGAGGAAAAGGCUGAUGUAGUCUCUGGAAGUUGGCCUGGUACUCUUGGAAUGGGAGUUCUAGGGUCUCGGGUACUCCCUGUAUGAUCUAAGAAGAGGUGAGGCACAGGAGCUUUGGGUGGGCACAUCCCCUUGACCCAUGGGCUUCUAACUCUGUGGAAAGGGGCAUGGCUGGAAGAGGACUGGAGAGCUCAGAAGACAAGGUAGGGGGUUCCUCUUGCCCCCAGUCUGAAGGCAGUUCUAAUGAGGUAAUAUUUGAUCCAAAGACCCAAAUGGAGAAUGGGAGGGAAACUUGUGUCAAUGUGGAAGAGUGUUCCAGGCAGAUAUCUGGAGGCUGGGGCUUUUGCUCCCUUCAUCCAUUCAUAUUCUCUGUGCCAAAGUCUUGAACUGCACAGAUAGUCCCCUGGCAACCUGGGAUUCCCAGGGAUGGAUGCACUCCAGUGGUGAGAUCAGGUGCCGAUAAAAGUCAAGUGCCUUCACUCUGUUGUUAAACAGUGUUGUAGUUAUCUUCCCUAGGGAAUUAAGGGGACAAUGUUGGCUGAACGUGAAGAGUACCUGGGAAGGACAGCCCAUACAUAGUCUCUGAGACAUAGAAAGCUAAAUAACUUGCCCAAGGUCACACAGCUCUACAAGGACAGAGUUGGAGUUCAACACCAGAUUUCUGCAUGGAUUAAUCAAUUUGUCUUGUAGAAGCAAAGGGACUCCUCUGAUGGUCCGGAGGUUAAGAAUCCGCCUUGCAAUGCAGGGGACACCGGUUUGAUCCCUGGUCAGGGAACCAAGAUUCCACAUGCCCUGGAGCAAGUGACCACGUCAGUGUCCAGAUGUGUGUGGAUAAGAAUGUUGUUCUUAUUUUACGAUGGCCUUGCUUAUCAGCAGAUACCCUGAAGGACUUCACAAGGCCCCACCUCUCCUUCCUUAUGGACCCACUUGCCCUGUGCUGCGGUCCACAGUUCAGCCACACCCCGUCCAGCCCUGGUUUUCACUCCCUGCCCAGCCCCUUGAGAGGAUGCUUCUGUUGGACAGAUGGACUUUCUAGGUGCCCAGACACCACUGUCGCAUCUCCCGGGGUGCCAUGCUCUGCAGUUUGGUGGUCGGCUGCCUCAUUUGCAGCUGGGGACUGUAC